rnacentral:lncRNA from 1 species
GGGGCUGGGCGCCCUCCCCACCCCCACGAGGGCCGCGGCCGUGGGGCGCUGGUAGCUCUCCCGCCCCUCCGCCCUGCACCCCUCCCGCCCUAGGGCUCUUUCCUGGACUGCGGCUGCAGCCUUCUCUUCCCGGAGGGCUCAGAGUUCGUCCCCUUUUCGCGAUUGGGAACGUGGACACGCCGGAGCCUGGAUGCAGAAGGGCGCGCGGGAACAGGGAGCUGGUGCGCGAGCCGCAGCCCAGCGUCCAGGCCGCCCCACUCUCUGCUGAUCCAAAGGACUAGGGAAACCCUGCGCGCCGACGGUGGCCUGGACGUUGGCGCGGGCCCUGGCGCUAAAAAACGGAUCCCAUUUCCAGAAAGGCGGGCCGGGUAUCCCGCUCCUGCCUCCUGGAGAAUUAGCUCGGCGGAGGUCGACCAGCCGGGUAGGGAGGGAGGGAUGGAGGGACAGGCCUAGGGUCGACCAGCCGGAUAGGGAGUAGCUUCUGGGAGCUCCCUUGCCUACGGAGGGCCGGUGAGGCUGCCCUCAGAGCGCCGCCAGGGAAACCUGGUCUUGGCUUCUGCUGCGCGCCGGGUGUCUAGGAACGAAUCCCUCCUGGAUCCGGGAACCCCAGAUUUGCGGGUUAGCUGCAGCUGAGCCAGAAGCGUCCCCACUGGCUUACCCGAUAGUGGGAUUUUACACGGUGUCGGCUAAGGGUGGCUUUGUGAGAAGACCAUUUCAGAAGAAGAAACGGGGCUCUGGCUGGUGGGGUAGAAACCCCUAUGGAAUGAAAAGUACUCCCAGUCUCUUUGAGGAAGAUUGCAAAGUAAGUUGGGGUGAGGAAGAGUGUGACUUCCCUACCCAGAGUCUGGUUGAGCACGGAUCCCGCCGAGGAGAGAAGGGUCCCGGCCGGGGGGAAGGUCCCUCUUUCUGGGACAAAGCGAUCCUUAAUUGUGGCCACCUUCCAAAGUCCGGGGCGAAUUCGCUACGCGCGUCUGCCCGGGCGGCGCUUGGUGGGUAGUCCCGCUUCCACCAAAACUCUGUGUUUCCUUUCUCUCAAAAUAAAACUCAACAAGCCAUAAAGCUUCCGACGCCGGUGGAGAAGGCGCCGCGGAUUUAUGGCCCCUGAAUUCCCUACUCUCUAAUUAUCCUUGUUUUUACUUGACUUAUGGGUAGUGACCAAUAAAAUCAUUUUCCAUUUUG